GCAUUUACCUGGCAGGGGCGACCUCGUGACGGUGAGGUAGUGGCUUCUACAGGGUGAAGCUCAUCCAGUGCACUCCGCAUGGGUUGACCUCUGUGGGUUUUCCUCAAUGUGGGAAACUUGACCUUGUAAUUUGUGGCAGUAGGGGACUGUGUUUGUGCUCUCCCCUG